GGAAAACAACUGGGCGAGUGUUUUAUGUUCACACCCCACCUCGGAGCGCAGAGCCCGCUGUAAAACAGGCAGGAAUGCCGCUGCCUGGAAACCCGCUCGGCAUUCCUGCGUCCCUCCUUCCCAAAGACACCUUUCUCCGGGUCCUGCGUGCCCGGAGAGCUCCAUAAAGAGCCCCUUGUGCCUGAGCGGGAACGCUGGGGCAGCCGGGAAGUGCUGCACUCACUCAACACCGGGCUCCUCUUACUGCACAGCCGGCUGCCUUUCCAGGGAAUUUAGGAAAACGAGCCCAGUGUUAAGGAGACAAACACUGGUUUGGGACCCUGAGGUGCAGCGAGGAUGGAUGGAUUCAGAAAAUUUGGAAAGAUGCAGAAAAUUUGGAUGCAUUCCAAUGGCAGGGGUUCAUGGUGAGUCCUGUUCCUUUUGGGCCUGGCACUGAACAUUC
rnacentral:lncRNA from 1 species